rnacentral:rRNA from 1 species
CCUACGGGUGGCAGCAGUGAGGAAUAUUGGUCAAUGGGCGCGAGCCUGAACCAGCCAAGUAGCGUGAAGGAUGACUGCCCUACGGGUUGUAAACUUCUUUUAUAAAGGAAUACAGUGAGGCACGUGUGCCUUUUUGUAUGUACUUUAUGAAUAAGGAUCGGCCAACUCCGGGCCAGCAGCCGGGGUACUACGGAGGGUCCGAGAGUUCUCCGGAUUUUUUGGGUUUAAGGGGAGCGUAGAUGGGUUGUUAAGUCAGUUGUGAAAGUUUGCGGCCCAACCGUAAAAUUGCAAUUGAUACUGGCAGUCUUGAGUACAGUUGAGGGAGGCGGAAUUCGUGGUGUAGCGGUGAGAUGCUUAGAUAUCACGAAGAACUCCGAUUGCGAAGGCAGCUUACUAAACUGCCACUGACAUUGAUGCUCGAAAGUGUGGGUAUCAAACAGGAUUAGAUACCCUAGUAGUC